CAUGGCCUUCAGCAUCUGGAAGACGUGGAGCGGAGCCACAUCAGACUCAGCAAGACCACCAUGAUCCUGGGGAAACAUAGGCCAAGCUUAGUGACACAUGAGAGCCUCCAUGAGCUGGGCCAGCUAGGCCACCAAGCUGAAAUCCCAUACAGGCACGCAGGAGUUUUCAGAACAGCAGAUGGGGGCCAGAGGGGUCCUGAAGCAGGCUUAUCUGCAAGUAGUGUGAGCUCAAACCCUGACCCUCGACUUCUCUCUUGAACACAUGGGGUCGAAGACAGCACCAGCAGCCAUUGCAGCCUUGCACAGCUCCUCUGUUCCCAGCACCUUCUUCGGCUAAAGGGCCCGCUUCUGCAGUGUCUCUGACUCCAGUCCUGUGGCAGUCCAGACAGAGUCCAACCUCACAGACUGCCACAGUUCCUGCAGCUUGAAAAAAGAUGGGUGGACACACACAAUGAUCAGAGAUGAACUCAGCAAGUCAGCUUGGCUUGUGUGAUGAGAAUGGUAAAUGUCUGACCCGCCACCAUGAGACAAGCGUCACUGCCACCCGUGCAGAGUGGACCUGAGGAUGUAGUCCAGGAAUGCGCGUGCAGAAGGUUAGACCUACUGUUGGCUUAAGAAACACCAUGACCUCCUACCAGAAAGGCUACAGAGAUCCACAAAUUCCCCACCAAGCUAUUCCUAUGUUCUAGAAGAAAUUGGAAUCAGAAAUGGAUAAGGUUGUUGGAGGAAUUCUUGCACUGAAGCCUGUCCAUCUCUUCCUUCAAAUGCAGCCAGGAGAGUCGUGGCUUCUUGAUCCAAUCUACACUGUGACUGACUCUGGGAGGAUCUCCUUAGUGCAGGAGCAGGAACUGUUCCUGGGCCAAGGACCAGUCUGAAUUGUUGUCCUCAGCACAGGGACAUGGACCCUUGGAGGUCCAAGGA